CCGGCUACGGCUUCUGUCUCAAACCUCAAACUUCUGUCCGAGCCCAGGACUCCACAUCCUCAAGCUUCCUAGACCGGCUCCGCCUCGGUCCCAAUCUCGCCUCGCCGUCUCGUUCAAUCCAACUCCGGCGCAGAUCGAACUGGCUCCGGCCGCGACCGAAAUUUUCACCUUUCCACGCAAAGCCGAUUGCACAACAAUGUACUUCUGCCGUGUCGAGGAUCCCGGAAAUUGCUCUCCAAGACGAGUUCCUCGUCGUCAUGACCGUCUUGGUUAUUGGUCCUCUUAAUUAAGCCAUGGCGAGGAGAAGCUCGUAGGAGAUGAUGACCUACGCAACCAGAUUGCCACUGCUGUGCAACAGAGCGGGAGAUGAUGAAAUCACACUUCCUCUUGACCUGAGAUCAUGAUACGCACUCUAUUUACUCCAUAUCGACGAGGGCACCAAUGAACAUCAACUGGAAUAUUUGGAUCUCUCUCUCUUCAUGGUACGUUUAAGCCAUCCAGAUUCCAGCCAUACUUCUCUAAAUUUUGUUGUUUAUUCAUCGGAUUUGGGCAUGUAACUGGAUGUUGCUUGG